CGCCUAGGAACGUGUUAGCUUUUAAGCUUCCACUUGGUGUAACAAAAAUUCUCACGUUUGGUAAUGCCUGAAAAUCUUGUAAGCUAAAUCGCUACUUUUUUGCUGCUAAACGGGAGAGUGAGAGAAAUUCAGUGAGAGCUGAAAGCUAAGCUGCGCGAGAAACAGCAGGAAAGGAGUGAAGUGAGAGAGAGAAACAGUUCGGGCUCUCGCGUGCGAGAGAAUUUUUCUCACAUUACUGGAAUAUUCUAGAAGGCUGUGCCCCAGUGCAAAAGCAAAUGGCGCAGUAAAAGUAAUUCAAGUGCAAUUUCUCAGUGAAAAGUGUUUUAUAAAUGUAAAAUUUAGUGGCAUAUUAAGCUACGAGGACUUGGAAAAUAGUGUACGCAGUCAACUAACCGAAGAGAAUGGAUUCGAAAAAUUUUAGAUUCAGAGGGAGUUAGAAUCUUGCCGGCAGCAUUUCAAGAAGUCAAAACUCCGUAUUAUAUCAAACAUAUGUCACGAGGAAGAUGCGUCUGGAACCGCUGCCAGUGAAAACAUUCUCGUGGAAAAUCCAAAUGUGAUGCCUACUCUUAUUGCGAAGGAACAAAUUUAUUUUUUUGGAGCUUUACAAGUACUUUGGAGUUCAAAGAAUUGUUCUAAUCAACGGUGCUGAGCUUUUGAGAAAAACAAGUUCACGAGAAAGAAAGAUGGCAAUUUAAAUAAUUGCUAACCAUCUUCUUCUUUAGCGGCCUCAACCCAACAAAGAUGACAAAAUUGCCUACGCAAAGGCAACCAUGGAACUUUUUGUUGCUAUUUAGGUUCAAAUAUUUAUUGUUACUAAGGUAAUUGUAAAUUUAAUUUUAAUUUAGUGAAUAAAACGAUUAUAAUGAAAAAUUGAAUUUUAUUUCCUAAGUGUAUAUAAAUAUUGGUUCAAAGUAAUGCUAAAUUUGUGUACACUUUGAGUACAAAAUCAC